ACAGUCUGGCCAAGUAUUCUUCCAGCCAGCCCGGCAAAAAUGCAUUCUCUCCCCUAGGGACAAAUGCAGAAAUUCGUCCGUGAAUUCGUCGUGUGAAUGCAGAAAUAUACACGGAUGUGCACACAACUACAGCUCUCCACACUGAGCAUGUGAUCUGUGCCCAGAUUAAUCCCCACAACCACACAAUUCCAUUUUAUAGAUGUGAAGGCUGGGUGCAGAGGGAUGAAGUAACUGGCCCACCCCAAGUUCAGAACCCAAAACUCAUAGCCCUCUUGGGGCCACACACAGCAUGAUGGGCUUCUAAGUACCUUGGAUUUUUAAAAGCCACUUUAUAAAGUGCUUUUAUGAAACAAGAUCUCACCUGACCUGGAAAACCAGUGAGGCUGGGACUAUUCAACUCAUUCGACAGCAGAAUAACUGAAGAUGGAGAAACAGGCUAUCCGGCAAAUCUGACUGGAACUCCCAGGCCCCUCCCUUGAGGAGCUGCUGCUGAGAGAUGGAAGAACUGGCCUCAUCUGUCCU
rnacentral:lncRNA from 10 species